UGCUGCAGCUAACGCAUUAAGCACUCCGCCUGGGGAGUACGGUCGCAAGACUGAAACUCAAAGGAAUUGACGGGGGCCCGCACAAGCGGUGGAGCAUGUGGUUUAAUUCGAAGCAACGCGAAGAACCUUACCAGGUCUUGACAUCCUCUGACAAUCCUAGAGAUAGGACGUCCCCUUCGGGGGCAGAGUGACAGGUGGUGCAUGGUUGUCGUCAGCUCGUGUCGUGAGAUGUUGGGUUAAGUCCCGCAACGAGCGCAACCCUUGAUCUUAGUUGCCAGCAUUCAGUUGGGCACUCUAAGGUGACUGCCGGUGACAAACCGGAGGAAGGUGGGGAUGACGUCAAAUCAUCAUGCCCCUUAUGACCUGGGCUACACACGUGCUACAAUGGACAGAACAAAGGGCAG
rnacentral:rRNA from 2 species